ensembl:lncRNA
AGGUUUGAUGUUUUUCCUUUCCUGUUAUUGAAGAGUGGCUGCAGAGGCAAGAGAAUCGGGUAGGGAGCUGCUGCUGCUGCUGCUAAGUCACUUCAGUCGUGUCCGACUCUGUGCGACCCCAUAGACGGCAGCCCACCAGGCUCCUCCGUCCCUGGGACUCUCCAGGCAAGAACACUGGAGUGGGCUGCCAGUUCCUUCUCCAAGGGCAGGGAGAGGAGAUAAUAAUUACUGAGCUUUGUGGCUGUUUCUGUGAUGUGUGCCUAAGUGGUUCGUGUGUGUGUGUGUGUGUGUGUGUGUGUGUGUAACAGAAAGAAGGAGGGAGGAGAGGGAACAAGGAAAAGGGAGAGAAAGAAGGAGAGGAAAAUGGGAAGAGAAAGAAAGAAGUCUUAAAGAACUGCAGACCAAGGCGAUCAGUGGAACCGAGAGACGCACCAGACCCAGUUAGCUACCCUGGCUUCACCUCACAGGUCUGGACUAGACACGGAUAGCUUGGGGUUCAUUUAUCCCUUUUUGUUUGUCAGUCUCAAGAAAUUUCUUUGUUCCUCAGGACCUGAAGAGAGAGGCUGGCAGGAAAGUGGGGCUGGAGUGGCCGUGUACAGAGGUUCAGCCAGGAGGGCUGGGCUCCAUGGUGCCUGGUUUGUGCCCGGCUGGACUGCCUCACCCGCCGGCCUGAGGGCCUGCCUUGCCUUCAAACCCUUCAUCUAGAUCUACGCUCUUUCGGUGGGAUCUGGCUGUGGUCAGAAGACUUUCCGCGUCAGAGCUGCUCGGCCAGCGCGUUUCCCCGGGAAGAGAGGCUGGUGGCGGGUCUGCCGACCCGAGGUUGUCCGGGCUCUCGCUACCUGCGCGCCCUCGUCGUACCGUGGUUAGCAUUCGGGAAGAUGCACUGGGAUGCCAAGAAAGCGCCUCUGUGCACCGAAAAGGUUGAAAAAUAACCCCAGCACUCUCAUUUAAUACCAGUCCCACACCUUGCACUGGCUUGUGAAGCACCCGGGGAAGAUCAAGUGUCAAGGACAGUGGCAGUUUAUUUUGGUGCAUUUCAGUUCUCCUUUCCGUUUCCAGCAAAACUGAGAACACAGUGGAGAAAGAAGGACCUUUGGAGAAAAGACGUGUGUGUGUGUGUGUGUGUGUGUGUGUGCAGAUAGGUAGGUAGAUACGAAGACAACUUUCAAGCACAUUCUCUAUUUAAAAGAAAAAACAAAACCCAGACAGGGGCCGAGAUUUCUUGGCGGUGCAGCGAAGGGUCAUUCAAGACAAGCAACUGUCUGAAUUCCGAAAGCGAUUUCUUGGGACUUGACUGAAAUAGUGGGAGUUCCCGGGAGUUUAAUUUUGCAAGGCUGUAAAAUGUUUUGUACUGGCCUCUUUUCCCAUCAGAUAUCCAUUAAAAAAAAAAAAAAAACUUCUACAGCAUCUAUUAAACAUAUUUCCUUGGACUCGAAAUCUACAGCUCGGCAGAAACAAACAAGUCAUAGCAAAACCCCGGAAAAUAAAGAGAUUUAGAAGAAUACCUGUCCCUUUCUGAGUCAUUUGAUAGUUUAUUCCCUGGAGGCCAAGUGAAGGUGGGGGUUUGAAUUUUAUUUUUCGUAUGUUAUUAUUAUUUUUCUCAUAUAUUCACUUAAAUGUUCAGCUUUGACAAACUAUUCUCCUACCGCGGGGUUCUUUUGCAGAACGGAGGUGGGGGUGGUGAAGCGAAUCAGUCGAGCGGAGCGGGGGUGGGGAGCGCAGAAAAACACGACUUGCUUCGCAGGGGGCUGACGCGCAGCCGUCUACUCCAUUAGCCAGCAGGGGGCGCUCUUAUGUUAUCUCUGGACCAGACAGCCGAGCCGCUGGGCGCUACAAGACAGGCUUUGCAGUUUUACGCAGCUGCAAAAGGAAGGGGGGCGGGGGGAGUGGAGCUCCUAAACCCUCAGCAGCUCUUCCACUUGGGUUAUUUACCCGCUGUUAGGCAAC